UACCGUGACCAGGAUUCGAACCUUGGUUAUUGUGUCCACAACGCAAUGUCCUAUUCACUAAAUGAUCAGGGC